UGGCGAUGUGUUGGCUUA
rnacentral:siRNA from 1 species